rnacentral:rRNA from 1 species
UUAAGUUUACUUAGAAUAGGGAAAGUGGCGGACGAGCGAGUAACAUACAAGAAUCUGCCCUAUACUCAGGGAUAACCCCUCGAAAGAGGAGCUAAUACCGGAUAGCCUGGAAACAGUAAAGCUUUUGCGGUAUAGGAGGAGCUUGUAUUCUAUCAGUUUGUUGGUGGGGUAAAGGCCUACCAAGACUACGACAGAUAGCUGGUGUGAGAGCAUGACCAGCCGCGAUGGGACUGAGACACGGCCCAUACUCC